rnacentral:misc_RNA from 1 species
UCACGACGUUGUUAAACGACGUUAUGCAUGAACGUAAUUUUUCUCACCGAACGUUGUAAAACGACGUUAUGCAUGAACGUAAUGCUCAUAACUUCCCUCUAGAUCUAGCUGCGAUCGAAGCUCCAUCUAUAAAUGGAUAAAAUUUUGAGCGUAAAGUAUACGAGUUUUUGAAACUAAAAGAGCAAUAUCAACAAUCUUGAUAUUGCUCUUUUAGUUUUAUUAGUAGUUUACCUAUUUCUAAAUUUAUACAUACAUUUUUUAUUUGCAGAUUCUAUAGUUCUUUAAUUUCUUAUCUUGAAUAUAUAUAUGGAUCUCUCUCUUUUUUUCCUAUCCUAGAAGAAAAGAAUGAUAAUGAAAGGUAGAAAUUCAGGUAUAGAUCACCCUUACAUAGUAUAAGGGCGGAUGUAGCCAGUGGAUCAAGGCAGUGGAUUGUGAAUCCACCAUGCGCGCCUGU